rnacentral:lncRNA from 1 species
AACUUCUCUAGGCUUUAGGCCAUGACUUUGCACCAUCUUUGACAUCAGGGAUGAUGUAGAUCGUGCGGUUGAAAGGGUCACAGCAAGGGCUGUGUCUGCUAGAAGCUUUGGGCUGGUUUGGAUUACACUGGCAUGAGCUGAGAGGGAGGUGUAGCAAAGUCUGGGAUAAGUGGUUGUACCACAAGAUGUUCGGAUGAACUCGGUGCUGGCUUUAUCAGCAGCAGGCCUGGCUGCUGAGCUUAAGUUUAUGUAGGAAGUAAGGGAAAGAAAAAUGAGAAGAGCUGGAAGGAAAUGGCUAGAAAAAAAUGAGCCUUCCAUAUCUCUCCUAGUUACUUGCAGAGAAACUUGGAGGUUAGGGAUGAGACUAGGGAGUAGAAGGGUAGUCCUUUUAUAGACGAAUUGGAAAACUUCUAAUGUGGGUUAAGUUAACAUAAAAAUUAAAGGAGCCAACUCCACAGCAUGACCUAUAUUUCUCAUACACCAUUACUUGUUAUAGGUCCCACGAUAAUUCAACUGGUCCAGAGGUCACAAUAGAUGAGUUAAAUAUUAAUAGUAACAGCUGAAGUUCAUGGUUUCCCUUAAUCCAGAAUGUUAGGACUAAUACUUGACUCAUAAGUGGUCAAUCCGUACUUCUUUGUCCCUAACUAGCACGAUAUAUGGGGUUAUGUUAAUCGUUACCCUUCAGCAUGAUUUCAGUGAUCAAAUUCUGAGUUUAUAAGCCUAUCGUUCACCUUAACAUGGUCAAUCCCAAAAUGAAAGUUGACCCGUUCGGUGGAAAGCUCUCAUGGUUCCUGGUAUGAUUUUCCUUAGGUUAUAACUACAAGCGUCUAUAUAUAUAUAUACCUUCUAAAUAGUAAUUUCCUUAAAAUGGUUUCUAAGCUAUAAAAACUAGUUACUAAUUAAUCUCAGUUAGAUUGAAGUUGUUAGUAUACAUACAUCAAAAACAGUUGGUGAGGUCGACAAGAAAAGGAGGAUAUCAAUAUCUAGAAUUCUAUGAUUCUCAGCUUUCUUUUUCAGAGCAUACAGCCAUGGAACUAAGACCAACUUGGUGUCACCCACUGGCCCACUGCAUUGCUCAUAUCUCAAUCUGGCUUAUAACUGGCCUAAAUUUUUAGUUUAAAAAAAUCAAAUUAAAGGGUAUCCACGACCACAAAAAAAAAGAAAAAAAAAAGAAAAAAGAAAAAACCUAAGAGAAGAUAAUGGGUUGACGUGUAAGAGAUCCUUGGUAGAGGUAGACCACAAAGCAUGUAACAUUUCGAGAGGAAGCUGUUGGGUUGGGUAAAACUUUGCACAUGCUCAGAUUCCUUUGAGAUAAAGAGUAAUUUUUUUUUUUUGUUUUUAGAAAGUAAAAUAAUAUAUAAUACAAUUAAAUUUAAUAUUUAUUCUUUUAAAAGAAAUUGAACAUUAUUAUAUGUAAUAAUAGAAAUUAUAAAUAUUAUGAAAUUUUAAAUCGAGUUUGGGUUUGACUUGGAUUGCUCAAAUCCUUAGCUUAUUCCCAAACUGAAUUGAUUUUGAAUUCAAAAAGUCAAAUUUAAGUAUUUAAAAUAUUUGUUUGAACCCUCUCAAAUAUCGAAUUGGGUUUGGGAUAGGUCAAAUUAAGUGUACUCAUCCAAGUUGCACUCCCAAUCCUGAUUGCAUCAAUGGAGUAGUCUUUUGGUGCAUGUUCCUUUUGUCUUUGAGUUUUAAUCAAUAAACCAAAAGGAGAAGUAGCAUCCUGUCUUACAAAUUAGGAAUGAACUUGAUCAAUAUUCACUCAUCAGUUUCAACAUCAUUAGGAAAUUGUGUAGUCUACCUCUAGCAUAUGUUGUGUUAUACCAUUUAAUAAACCACCAAUGUGGUAGUAUUUGACACACAUAAAUUGAAAGAGGUCGUUAGAGUGUUAUGAAGCAAUAUCUAAUCAAUGCAUUGCUUCUAAAAGACUUACUUUUUUCUUUUUUUAAAUUGGUUAUCAACCUAUACAAUGGUAUGAUCAUUGAAGAGAACCACCAAAUGAUUUAUUAUUUAGACCAAUUGAUGCUCGAAAUAGAAAAAUAUGAUUAUUCUAUUACUACCACGUGUCAAAGAUAGAUUUUCUUAAUAAUUUUUUUAAUAUAUAUAUACUCUUCCCCAAUCAAUUUCCUCAUAUUUUAAUACUUAAUUCAAAGAAUUAACUAAGUGGGAUAUCUUCUAAACAACUAUUUGAUUUACAAAUUUAUUAGUGAAUUUUCUUUUCCUUUAUCCAUAAUUUUCCUCGUUUAGAAUUUUUCACAUAAAUUUGUAUAUUCUUAUUCUGUUUUUUAUUUUUAUUUUUAUUUUUUUAUUGCUUAUUCUCAUUAUUGUGUAACAAUAACUAAUAUAUAUAUAUAUAUAUACUCUUCCCCAAUCAAUUUCCUCAUAUUUUGAUACUUAAUUCAAAGAAUUAACUAAGUGGGAUAUCUUAUAAACAACUAUUUGUUUUACAAAUUUAUUAAUGAAUUUUCUCUUCCUUUGCCUAUGAUUUUCCCUAUUUAGGAUUUUUCAUAUAAAUUUGUAUAUUUUUAUUUUAUUUUAUUUAUUUAUUUAUUGCUUAUUCUCGUUAUUGUGUAACAAUAACUAAUAUUAUGUUAUAUAAACGGUAAAAUAGUAAUCAACAUAAAAAAAAACCUAAUAUUUUGAACUAAUAUUUUUAUUUUAGCUCUAAAAAUUUUUCUCUCCUAAAGGACCUAUAAAAGUUAAAUAAAUAAUAUUAUUUUUAAUAAAUAUUUCAUCUGUGGCAAUUAAUUUCUAACAAGUCAUUUUCCAUUACUUACAAUUCUUUUCCAAAAUUAUUGAAUUUGCUCCAUGAUAACUUAUUUCAUUUACAUAUAGAUAUCAUGAAGUAGAAGCAGAGUGUCGGCCAGCAAUUCUUUUGGAUUUUUUUCCUCCCAAUGGUGAGAAAAUGACAACCUCCUAAGAACCCUUUCCUUUGGGGAAGUGAUACUAAGUAAGCACUCUGAAAGGAACAUACACCACCCCUGCGAGUGACAUAUUGACAUAAUUGAUUUAUAUAGGCGAUGUGUCACUUUCUUUUGUUAAAUAAAUUAGGCCCCCCUCAACUAUAUUUCAUAAAAGAACUAGAAUGCCUAUUUGGCAAUGCUUAGAAAACGAUUAUAACAAAUUAUUUUUUUAAGAAUAUAUUUUAAAAAUAAUUUUUAAUUCUUUUCAAGAAUAAAAUUCUGUUUGAGAACAUAAAUAUAAAAAAUAGUUCUUUCAAUUUAUUCUCCAAAAAAAUAUUAUACAAAGAAUUUUUCACAUUUUCAUUUGUUUUUCAAAAUUUAAUAAAAUCAUUUUAUUAAGAGAAAUUAGAAAGAAACUAGUAACUUUCGGUGGAGAACGUGGAAGUUUAUAGAUUUAGUUUAGAUAACAUAUAGAGAAGGUGAAUAGGUGUUUCUUUUAUCCCAAAAAAUGAUUAUUUUUAAUCCUUUAACUAACUCCUUUUAGUUUAGGGAAGCUUAAAGAUAUUCAACACAAGAAACAUGAUUUUUUAUGUAGAAAACCAUCCAUAUGACGUUUGAAUGUAAAUAUCACAGAGUCAAAAACCUCUAAUUGCAAAUCCACUAAUCAAAAGUACAACACAAAUUUAUCUUGUAAAAGCUAUUUUUAAGUCUUACUCUUUAACACUUAUAUUGAACUUUACAUCUAUGAUGCAACACCAUAUGUGCUCCCAGUGGAUCUCACCUCAACGCAUGAGGGGAUGUAGAUUUCUUUUUUAAACAAGUAGAAGCAUAGACAAACUGUCUUUGAGAGUUUUAGGAAAAGGAAGACAAAUUAGGUUUUUUUUCCCAAAGUUGGCAUUAAAAAGGAAAUCCUUUUUUUAGGGAAGGUAUUUAUAAUGCAAAGAACCUUGUUGAUGGGAUCUAAAAUUUUCCCAAAAGUAAGACUUUUAAAAAUAAAGAAAACAAGAUUCCGGAAUUCUUGAGAAUUCUGCCAUGAGCCAUUGAGCACCUUUAAUGCACUUGAGUGUUCUGGGGAGGCUUAGGCGCUCUCCUUGACACUCGAGUACUAGAGUUCUUUUAAACCAGUUUUAAAAACCUACCAUUCAUACAAGGCUUUAAUUAACUCAAAUUUGCUUUUUGAGACCUUUUUAUAUUUACAUGCCAUUCUGAUUAAUCACGGAACAAUCUUAAGUUUUCAAUAGAGAGUAAGAUAUAAUCUAAAAAGGUCACAAAUAAGCUAAAAUGUUUGGAGCAAAAUUUCUAAUAUUAAAAACUACAUAAAUUAACAUACCAAUAAUCUCCCCGUUAGUAAUUUUGAGACAAAAUUUAUAAACCUCAAAUACUCUUAACACGCGCGGUUUACAAAUCUCUCAAUAACACUUGUCUAAAAUAAUCAUUCUCUAACAUGCAUAUGAUGAUCAAAAAGCAUCCAAGAGUGAACAAAUCAAAUUAACUUGUGACACACACUAAUAAACUAAAAUCCAAGGUAAAGCAGUGUGUGGGAAAAAACAUAAAAAAUAGUAUAGCUAUAAACAAUAUCAAAUAAUGGUGAGAACAAAUGGAUGCAAAUCAUGCGUGCAAUAUACAUCUAUCUAUCAACCAAAUAUUUAUCUCCCUAUUUAUCACAAGCAUGACAGAAAGGAGUAAUAUACAACAAUAAGCGCACAUAAGAGAGAGAUGGACAAUGAAGCAAAAUAAUAUCCAUAUAUAGUCAAAGGUUUUGGAUACAUAAGAUAAAGAAAGAAAUGUAUAUCAAACCAAAGUAAAAUACAAAAUAAAAUUAAGCCAAGCCGGUUGUAGUACUAAAAGGACCGACCCAAAAAAAAAAAAAAAAAACUGAAAAACAACUACUACUCAAGAUCAGAUGGAGGCAGUGGUAUAGAGCUAGAACCGCCCUAAGACAUCAUAAAAGAAGUGAUGGAUGUGAGCUACCCCUUUAUGUGAUAGAAACUUGCAUCCAUAUGCUCCUCGUAUUGGCGAUGAGUAGUGUUCAUAUGAUCCAACUGUAAGUGCAGCUAGUCCAUGGAUUCGAGAACCCGUUAGAUCCUAAAAACAUCAGUGAGGGUAGGAGUGUGGGACGAGAUGUAGAACAUGAGGGAUUCUCUCCUUAUGACUACUACGACCUUGAGGGGUAGGCACUGGGAACUCUUCGCCCUGCUCGAUAGCUCUAGCCUCCUACUCCUUUUGUACAAACUCAUCAGUAAUGAGGCUAGAGACGUGGCUCACGUGCUUGGACCAUAAGCUCUUUUCAAUGAGAGCACACAGGCUAAACAUGCCCAUCUACUAAUGAAUUUCAAAGCCGGUAUCCAUGAGAAUUUGAGAGAUGAUCAUUGUGAUAAGAAGGCUCCUAGGACGAGACGACUUACUGUAAAUAACUAUCAUGUAAAAAAUAACCCGGUUGAUAUCUAUAGGUUGCCCAAAUAGAAUGGCAUGGAUGAACUGAUUUGUCGAAUGGUGACUUUGUGUCCGAUGGAUCGAAGGAUAGAAAGAAUAAAUGAAAUAGGUGGUGAGGACCCAGACUGGCUUGGUGAAGUCAGCCACUAGAAGCUCACCAAACAAGGAAAUAGGGAUGGCUGCGAGCUCGGAGCUCGUAAAGAACUGUACCUCAAUAAAAAAGUGGGUUAAGGUCCCCUAAAGUGAUGACAUAUUGAGAGUGCGACAAAUAGAUUGAGGUGUGAUUAAUAGGGUAUAACCUUACAUGGUGACUCAGAAUGCGAGCCCUAACACUAUAGAGUGGAUGUUUGCAUAGAACAUCCUAACAUAAUGGGGAUAUGAAUUCCUAGGAAGUAACGUGAGAGGCUCCCAAUCUAUCUCAUGGAAAAUAUCAGGUAGAAUAAUAUCUUGAUCGAACCUCAAGGCUAUACCAUACUCGAUCUCGACCCUAUAGUUAGAGAAAUGAGUAUACGUAGUAGUGCUCAUGGGUGUCCUGAGAGUGGAAACAAUUGAUUGAAAGGUUAGUCAGGCUAAAGGGCCUCUAUAAAAGGAUCCCCAUAGUAGGCUUAGGGGAUGGAGGCAUAGGAGGUGCCCCCCGGGGAUGCCUACGACUAGGAAUAUUGAUCCUUGAGUGGAAUAUAAAAGGACAUGUAAACCUGGUAACUAUUUGGAAAGUAGUGGAAGUACUCAAGAAGUGGUUAGGAGCACUCCUACAGAGUUAGAAUGGGCAAAUAUGGACCUAAAAGUUGCUAGAAGACUAAACAACAUGAAGAGGCUAGAAGAAAUAAAGACAAAAUGAGUACGGGAAGGCUUAUAGCAAGAUGAAUCUCAAUAAUGGAAUACACUUGGGGGAGGAUGAAUAGGUGUUUUGACUAAUUAAACAAAAUCUCAACUCAAAUUAGCAAACCUUAAUAUUAAUUUUUUAUUCUCUUCACAUAUUCUCAAAAACACAAGCAUAUAUGAAAGCAACAACACCCCCAACAAUAUUAAAAUGCAAUUCACAUGCACAUGAUCCAACACUCUCAAACUCAAAUAAACUUAAACCAAAUUCAGAUAAACACAAGAUCAAUAUACCUCAAAAUGUCAAUGAUCAACAAUAAAAAACAGCUUCAAAGAUGAUUCAUAACCAUUUAUCUUCAUCAUUCAAUCAAAUAGUAGACAAUCAAAUCUACAAUAAAUUGUUGAAACUAAAAAUUGAUGCUAAGAAGAGAAAGAGAGACAAUGAGAACAUUGACACCAAAUUUUAACGUGGAAAACCUUUGAAAAGAUUAAAAACCAUGGGCCUGCAACUGAUCAAAAACAUCCACUAUAAAACAUAAAAAUUGAAUACAAAGUUUUACUUAGCUCAAGUCAACUAAUCCUUCUCGGACCACUUGACUAGUACUUUUCACUUUUAGCUUCUCAUCUUCUUCUUUUGGAGCACACUUGGAGUCUACACCAAGCUCUAUCUCAACCUCUUCUUGAAUCCACACAAGAAGAAAAUAUAUAGGUUUUUGCACAAAACCAAGAGAAUGAGAGAUGAAUGUGUUGAUUUUUGAAACAUCCAUUUAAAAAAAAUAAAAUUUCUUAGAAAACUUAUGGGAUUUUCUUAGGUGGUAAACAUCCUCAAAAUGGGAGGAAGGAAAAGCUCUUUCAUGGCUGCUACUCUCUCUACGUCCAGAAAUGGGAGAAAGUUUGAUUUUAAAUGAGAAUGAAGCCCUUAAUCCAAUGGCUGAAAAUUGACCUUAAAAACAGGUUAGUUGGAUCGAUCUGUCCAUACACUUGGAUUGAUCUAGAAAUAAGAGAACAAGAAAAUUAUCAAGCUCUAUGGGUGAUUAAGGCUUUUAUGAACUUUGUUUUAGCAGCCUAGAAGUUGAUUAAUGAUAUUCUAGGGAUAGUUGUCAAAUCUUAUAGAUCUAGAAUAUCAAAGACAUAGUAGGACCUUGAGAUAUUUAAGUAGAUGUAAAGGAAACAAGUUAACAAGAAAAUUAUCAAGCUCUAUGGGUGAUUAAGGAUGAACCUAGGACCCUAAAUAUUGAUCCAAUCUAAAGUAAUGAUCAUAAGGUCCAUACCAUAAAAUCUUAAUCAUUGAGCCAAAUGCUUAGAGAUUUUCUCAAAAACUCAAACCUAAUAGAAUUUGAAGGCUUGGUCAAAAUGUCAUCUAAUUGAUGUUUAGUGCGAACAUAGUCUAAGGAAUCUACCUUAUCUUCUACAUGCAAGAUCCCGAAUAAAAUGAUAUCUAAUCUCAAUGUGUUUAGUUUGAGAAUGAAGAACAUGAUUCUUAGAGAUGUUUAUAACACUCGAGUUAUCACACAUGAUGCUCAUGGUGUUUUGCUCCAUGCCGUUUUAUUGAGCAUUUGUUUCAUCCAAAGAAGUUGAGUACAACAACUUCCUAUGGCAAUAUAUUCUAGUUUUGUAGUGGAAAGAAACAUCAAGUUUUUCAUUUAACUAAGCCAACCAACUAUACAAUCGUAGGGAUAAAAAAACAAACACUUGAAAUACUUCUCUUAUCCUCUAUGUUUUUGAUCCAAUUAGCAUCAGAAUAUCCAAUGAUAACAAGUGAGAAGUCAAAGUGAUAUAACAAGCCAUAGUCCCAUUAACAUAUUAGAUUAUUUGUUUUAUUGAUUUUAAGUGAUACUCUUUUGGAUUAGCCUGGUACAAACUCACAAUAAGGAAUAGAAGACUUCCUACCAUGUUGUUAUAAAGUUUUUGCUCAACAUUUUCACCAUAUGUAUCUUUGCAAAGCUUUGUGGUUAUGCUCAUGGGUGCUUAGCCGACUUAAGUCUAAACUUUUUUACUAGAUUUGAGAUAGGAAGAUGUCACUCUCAAUUUGCUUUGAUAACCACCGAAAGUCCAAUAGAGAGCACCUAGAGAAAGAGAGAGAAGAGGGGAGAGGGGGGUGGGGGUGAUUUAAAAAAUAUUUAAAAUAUUAUGCCCAAUUCUUUUAACCCAAUAAAUUUUAGGGAUGUACUGGAUAUUCAAACUUACCAAAAAUUGAUUUUUACCUUUUAGAAAUAUCUUGUGAUUAGAUAAGGAUAAAAUAAUAUAAUUAUUAAUGUCCAAAUUAUCCUAAGAGAAGUUAGGGAAAACAAUAAUUUGUUAUAUUUAUAACCUCCAAGAUAACCAACCCAACAACCUCAAUAACAAACUAACCAAUCAAUCAAAAGGAUAUCAAUAUUAUCAAACAUAAUAUAAGCAAGAAAAUAAAGAUAUGCAAUGAGGCACAAGAUUUUUACAUGAAAAACCCCCACAAACUAUGAAGAUAAAAAACCACAAGGUCUAAUACCUAUUAAUCUAAAUUCACUAUUCAAAAUCAAGUUACACAAAUUUACUUGAUCGAUUUACUCUAAUAGCUUACCCUCCAAUACCUACAACUUGAUUCACGUCUGUGAUGCAAGAACUCUUUGUUGCUCCUUAGUAGAUCCUUCGGCCACUCUAAAGGGAUUAAGAUCUUCAACCCAAGAUUCAAAUAUCAAAUCCUUGAAUGAGAUUGGGAAUGAUGUGGCACUUUAGGCUUUCUCUCUAGGAGACCUAAAACAAUCUUGUCAAUGAAACCCUCUCAACUAAAGUGAGAUCUCUUAGACCAAAUUUCAUUUUGAUCUCUAACCCUCAAGGGGUUAUAAGGAAGGUAUUUAUAGGCAAAGUCUUAAAGAGUUUCGAUAUCUUCAGUUUCUAAAAUAGAGUUUGAGUGAAAUUCAUCCAAAAUCCAUUUCUAAAUUCGGUAGGACAAUCAUGAUUGCUUGAACGGACUUACAGUGCAUGAACGGGCCUUACCGCUUAAGUAGGCUGAUCAUUUGAGCAUGAUUAAUUGCUUGAGUAGCUCUUGCUUCUUUUGAAAAAUCAUUUUAAAACAUUUUAAGUCCAAGAAUGAUACCGAACCUAUUUAUACAUCAAAAGAGCCUUAUAUGCCACAUGCCAACCUCUUUAUUCAUACUUGUGACUUCACGGUUGGACGAACAACAACUUUUGAUUUUCAAUGGAGAGCAAGUCAUUAUCUAAGAAGACUUCUAUGACCAAACAUGAAAAUGAACAAAUUACCAACAUAUAAACAAGACUUAGGUAGUGUUUGUUUUUUUACUUAAUUCUAAAUAGAACCUUAAUGCUUAAUAGUGUUAAAAAUUAGGUUGUUUGUUUUUGUAGUAUUUUAUUUCUAUUAGGUAUUAAAAAGUAAAGAAAAUUUAAUAUGUUAUUUUUUCUAUUUAGAAAAAGCUACAUAUUUUGGCUUUUUCUAAUUAGUAAAAGUUUAUAAUAAGUCAUGAAAAAGUAUAAAAACAAACAAUCUAAAUUUUGAAAACAAAUUGUUUUCAGAAAAAAGCCAAAAAAACAAACACCACCUUAAUGUCUUAACAUUCCUAAUUUGUAGGCUUAGGAAAAAGUAAAGUUCACUUACCAUGCUCAUUUCAAACUCCUUUUUCAUCUCCUCAAUAAAACCAAUAUUUUAUUCAUUUAAAGUGGCUAUAUCAUCAACAUAAAUCUGUGCCACUAGGAGUUUGGAAUUAGUCCUAAGGAGAAAUAAGGUCAUAUCAGCUCUCCUUCUCUCAAAACCUUGUUUCAAGAGGUAAGUAGUUAGCCUAUUGUACUAAGCUAGAGCAUGAAUGGUAGACCAAUCAAAGAAAGCUAAAAUCCAAAUAUAAGUAUGUGUUUGAAAAACCUACUAAAUAAAUGAUUGCAUUUAAAGCCGUUAGAUUUAAUAUUUAGAGGCUAAACACUAACUACCGCUUUCUUUAUGGUUGAAAUAAGAUAUAGUUAUAAUAUGUUGCUAGGAGGAUAUAUAUUAGAUUCAUUCCAAUUAUUGCAUACCACUUUUUCUUCAUCAGUUGUUGAUCUUUCAAAAAAGAAAAACACAAUGGAAUUGGUAAAAGCAAAGAUUAAAUCUUUCUUGGCUUAUUUAAGAUGGUAGAAGUGAAAUACUAUAUAAAAAAAAAGUAUUCUCUAAUCAUGUUUAAAAAGACAAAAAAAAAAAAGAAAAAGGAACAAGUCUUUGUAUGGUCAAACUCUCUCUCUCUCUCUCUCUCUCUUUCUAUGACUUUGGUAGGAGAAUUUAGGGUAAUGUCUCCCAAUCAAUAAGGUUGGGGCAAGUUUCUGUAUUUUAUGAAUGAUGCAAGAAAAAUGAUUGGAUGAAAAUAGCCAAAGCUUCUAUUUGAAACAGAAAAGCAAAAAAAAUUAGGGAUUGAAUUGAAAAAGGUAGUCAACCUUCGCCAAACAUUGGAACAUUAAAGUCAAGGUAAUUAAAAGAAAUCCAUUUGGCUAAAGAACGAAAAGUUGAAAAGUUGAAAAGUUGAAAAGUUGUGCAAGUUCAAGAUCCCUUUGAUGAAAUAAAUUUGGAAAGAAAUUAGGAAGAUAUAAGGCCAACCUUUUUUUAGUAAUCUCAUCUUGAGAUGAUGUAGAGGAUGAUAUAAUUACUAAAAGAUUAAUAUAGCGAUUGUUUUGUUGGUAAUAUAGAAAAAAAUGCCUAGGUUAAGACGAGUAAAAGAAGGGUUUGAACUAGUCAAACAACCACCUAGAAGGAUGAUGUUAGAACAUAUAUUUAAGACAAAAGAAGAGAUUAAAAGAUCAUUGAAGGCGAGUUUUAUUAUUAGAAUACCCUAUUAUGUGGAAAUAUAAUUAUUUAUAUUGAUUUCUAAAACAUAACUAGGACAGUCUAAAAGUAUCCUAUUUCAAUGGUUGAUUUGCUUGUUGAUAAGUGUCUCUUAGCAUGAAAUGUUUCUAUUCAUAAAAGACCAUUUAGGAUAUAAUCAAAUUUUUCUAUAGAAGAAAAUAUCCAUAAAAAAAAUUUAGAUGUAUUGGAGCCAUAGAAACCUUUUAGUGGAUGGUUAUAUGUUUGGGUUAAAAAAAUUAAAAAAUCUUGUUGCAACAUACCAACCGGCCAUGAAUGUAAUUUAAUUGGAAAGAUAAUGAAAGUUUACAUUAACAAUGUGAUUGUGAACUCUAUUCAAAAUUUUGACAACUUAGAAAAAGUGUUUGAUAGGAUGAUGCUACACUGUGUAAAAAUGAAUCCUACCAAAUGUGUAUUAAGUAUAAGUGUGAGGAAUUUCCUUGGAUUUCUAGUUCACAACAAUGGAAUAAAGUUUGACUAUAAUAAAGGUAAGGCCAUACUUAAGGCUACUCUUGCUAAGAAUAAGGAGUUUCAAGGCUUCAUUAGCCAAAUCAAUUUCCUUGAAAGGUUUAUAGCAAAUUCUUCAGGAAAAAUCUAGGGAUUUUCAUCACUUUUGAAGUUAAUGGAUAAGGAUGAACUUGUAUGGAAGAACAUUCAUGAAAAAGCCUUCGAGCGACUGAAAAUCAAGCUAAGCCUCCUGUGUUUUGAUACCACUAGUGAUAUUGGAAAUAUGGAGAAGAUAGAGGAUAAGAUUACAAUAAAAUCUUAAGGGAUGUAGAAAUCACCACCCUUUGUGUCCACUGGAAACUUAGAACUCACCAUUCAAUGGAAUCCACCAAAGAAACAUAACUUUCUUUGAGAAAAGUACUCUCUAUUGAAUACCAAAUAUUUUUCCUUCAAGCAGCAAAAACUUUCUCCCUUAUAAUUCAAAAGACUUAUUACAGCUUACACUUGGAACAAUCCUCCAAGCAUAGGGUUCCAAAGUACCUAACUUACAUUCUUAAUACCAAAACUAAAUGAAUAUAUUCCAAGAAGUUCUCUAAUUGAAAAAUAAAUUACACCUUGAGGACUUAUAGAAGGAUUGAAAUUCCACAUGGGAAAUUGAGGAGAGUAAGAAAAUGAGGUAAAAUUAGGAAUUCCUAGGUGACUCCUUUACAAAAAAAAAAAAAAAUCAAUUAGAUCAACACCAACUUUGUUCUACAAGAUGUUUCAAAAUUUGGUUGCAACUUAGGAAAUUAAUGUGAGAAUCUAUAGCCCGAUAGACUCUGUUUCUUAGACCAUGUAGAAGGAUGCUGCUGUGUCAAGCUCCUCUGGGUGGAAAAGACUCAUCCUCGAAUCUAGAUUACUGUUACUAGCAUGAAAAGGAGAAAGAUUAGAAAGAUUGAAAGUAGGUGAAACUGCAUAAUUAUCAAGAAGCUCAAUUUUGUAUGCAUUUUCACCGAUUCGUAGGAGUAAUUUGAAUGGAUUAUCGACCUCUGGUUUGAUCUUAACAUACUUUCCAGGUGGAAAACGUUCUUUGCCAAGAUGAACCCAUACAAUCUCCUUCCUUAAACUCAACAUGUCUUUCAUGCUUGUUAGCCCUCCUCUUAUACUUCUCAUUUUGCCUGUGAAUCUUGUCCUAAACUUGUCUGAAGCUUUCUAAUGCUUUGUGCCCUUUCUUUAGUAUCCCCAUUGAAAUGGUGAGUAGUUGGAGGAGGAGCUGAAUCCAAAGGACUUAUAGGAUUUUUACCAUAAACUACUUUAAAAGGACUACAACCAGUAGUCUGAAUAGUAGACCGAUAGUAAAUGAAUUCAAUAUGAGCCAAAGCAAGAUCCCAUUUUUUGAACAUCCUUCCCUACAUAACAUCUUAAGAGAUUCCCCUUCAUCAGCAUAAGUAAUUUCGUCUUCUUUACUCGGAAUGGCAUAGUCAUUUUGAGAGUUUGUAUGACCUCCUCAUCACUAUCUUCUUCCACCAGGGUGACAAUUCUAUGAUUAGGAUAUUCUGAAGUAAUAUGUCCGUAUCCAUGACACUUAAACAUUAAUGAGAACUAGCUUUCGACGAGGUCUAUUGCUAGUUAAAACCAGCUCCACCAUCACUCUUCGAAGUUAUUUUAGAUGUGGGUUUCAAAGCUGGAUUGGCUUUGCAUUAGAGAUAUGUCCUCGGCUAGAAGUUUCAUCUUAACCCUUUACUUCCUUUUGUUGCUUUUCCACUUUAAGAGCAAGCUUGCACACAUCACCAUAAGUCUAGUAAAGCAGUAGUAUUUAAACAACAUUACCAAUUUUAUGCUUCAAACAUCCAAGGAAAUUAGCUCUGGUUUGUUCUUCAGGUUCAAUAAGAUCACAUUUCAUCAUGAAAUAGUUAAACUCUGCUAUAUAUUCUUCCACAGAUAACUCUUUCUAAUUGAAGUUGAUAAGCUUAAGGAAUACAUAUUGUCGAUAAAUGUCUGGCAAAUAUUUUCUCUUAAGUUCUUUUUUUCAUCUUUUCCCAAGUCGUAAUUCUUCCCCUUUCUUCACAAGCCCUCUGCUUAAUUUUUAAGAUUUUCCAACGAUAAAGAGGCAUACUUUUUCAACUUGAUAGCAAUAAGUUUCAUCCUAUGAAUUGAACCAUUGAAACUUCUUUAUAGUUAAACACUCGUUCCAUAGAGAGAAGUCAAUCAAUAAACUUAUCUGGCUCCCUUUUUGUCUUCAAAUUUUGGGAUAUGAACUUAAAAAAUCAAAGUCUCUUAGAACAUUGUAAUUCCUUUGUACACGAGGAGGGGAGACUUCUUUUGAAUGUUGGCUUGGAUCUCUGAAAUGGAUUGAUGUCUUCAUUUUUACUGCUAGGAGCCUCAUGCUUUGUAUUGUGAUGGGAUUCAUUGCACCCAAGAAUCUCAUAACAUUCUAAACGUUAUUGCAACUGUUGCACUUGUCCCCUUAAUUCUUCUACCUUAAUGCAACGAACAUAUCACGAGAAAGGCAUUUUUCUUCAAUAUAUAUUUUGUGCGCGACGAUGAUGACUAGCGGUGAGAACUUCUGACCUAUGCUCUGAAACCAAAUUAGUAUCAGAAAUUUGGAGAAAACAGAGGAUAAGAUUACAAUGAACUCUCAAGGGAUACAUAAAUCACUACCAUUUGAGUUCAGUGGAAACUUGAAACUCACCACUCAAUGGAAUCCACCAAAGAAAUACAAAUUUCUUUGAGAAAAGUACUCUCAAUUGAACAACAGAUACCAACUUUGUUCGAAAAGUUGUUUCAAAAUCUGGUUCUAAUUUGGCUGAAGCUUUGGAAAUUAAUGCGAGAGCCUUUAGCCCAUCGGACUUUGCUUCUUGGACGAUGUAGAAGGGCACUGCUGUGUCAACUAGACAGCAAUAUCUUUAGAUUUUCCUUUUGUUUUUUUCCUCCCAAGGAGCUCAAAAUAUCUGAGGCCGAGUAACCACUAUAAUCUACUCCUCCGAGGGACAGAUAUACUCAAAUGCUUAUUUGGCAAUGUUAGAAAGCAGUCAUAAAAAAUUAUUUUUUGUGGAAUAUUUUUAAAAUAUUUUUUAAUUAUUUAAAAAAAAAACAAAAUUCUAUUUGAGAAUGUAAAUAUGAAAAAAAUAGUUUUAAAAUUUAUUCAUAAUUAAAAUAUUGUACAUUUAAUUAUAACACAAAAGUUUAUAAAGUAUUCUUUUGUGUUAUAAUUAAAUGUACAAUAUUUUAAAACAAUUGUUCAAACCUUUCUGUUUUUUUCUCUUCUAUGCCUAGCACUCUCCCCGCCCACCCAUUAUGACAGAAUUUCCACAACCAAUUAAAAUUUUGUCUUUAAAUUUAAAAAAGGAGAAAUCAUUAAGCUUUGUUUCGGUCAUGGGAAUAAUAUAUAUAUAUAUAUAUAUUGAAAUAAAUCAUUUUCUUGUUAGAUUGUUAUAGAGAGAAACGAGAGAAAAACCAGUAACUUUAAAUGUAGAGUACUUUGGUUAGGGAUAACUAGCUUGUGUUCCUAGUGCAUGGUCCACUAAAGGCAUGGUCAUGUAGGGACAUAUAAAUACUUCUUUAAAAUGCAAUAAUUUAUAGAAGAAGUAUUAUCAAAUAUUUUAGAAUUAAUUUCAGUCAUCAAAAAUCAAUAGUUGAAUGCCUUAAAAGUAAAGCUAUUAUUUUAUUAUUUUAUUAUUUUUAUGGUGGUAUCAUAGCUACUGAAAUUUCCAAAGUUUCUGAUUUAAUUUGUUUCACCCAAGGGAUAAACUUGCUUGCCCAACCAUUUGUUGGGGGUUCGACUCCCUCAAGUGGCAGAGAAACAGGUCAUUUUUGAGCUUUGACCGCCAUAUAUGAGUUGGAAAUAUCUUACACGAUAUUUUAAUAACUGGUUUCACCUUGAUUUUGGUUUAGACCUUAGUAGGAUAUAGUGGGGCUCACAAUGAUGCCUUUCUAAACAUCCAACAUGUCUGACUGGUCAAGAAUGGCCAUACUGUGGAAGAAAAGUGGCUACGUCACUAGCUUUUGUUGUCCUACUUCACCUUAAUUAUUCAAUUGACAAUUAAUUGGAAGAUUCACUUAUAAGUGUCACAUCUUCUAUCGACUCUUGUGACUUUGUUUUCCUUUUUCAUGCUUCAAAUUUGAACACCAAGAUAAUCACCAAUUCUACUAUAAUAUAAAGCAAUUGACCCAUAAUACAACUGAUCCACACCUAGUAGCAUUCCACAUUUCUUGCAGCAAGGCAUAUAGGAUUAAUUAGAACCCCAGUUGAACCUUAGCCGCUUAGAAACACCUGAGUUGGCUAAUUGUGAAGGGAAGCAUAACUAUUGAUCAAACCCAAGGCGUUGCUAGUCAUAUGCGCCAUGUUAACUACACGAGCCCUCACGGUGGUUUUUAGAUUCCCAUUCAUGGCGUUUCCGGCGAACCCAUCAGUGCAUGUGUCCUCAUCCGUCAGGGCAGCACUAACCCAUGUUUGUAUGUCAUUCAUCAUGAGCCCAAAAUUGGAGCCUUUUAUUUGGGUCAUCUCCCCCAUUGCUUUUCGAAGCUGAUCUACUGAGUCGCUCAACUCUUCCACACAGUCGUGCAUGGCUGCAACUUCUCUAGGCUUUAGGCCAUGACUUUGCACCAUCUUUGACAUCAGGGAUGAUGUAGAUCGUGCGGUUGAAAGGGUCACAGCAAGGGCUGUGUCUGCUAGAAGCUUUGGGCUGGUUUGGAUUACACUGGCAUGAGCUGAGAGGGAGGUGUAGCAAAGUUUGGGAUAAGUGGUUGUACCACAAGAUGUUCGGAUGAACUCGGUGCUGGCUUUCUCUGCAGCAGGCCUGGCUGCUGAGCUUAAGUUUGCACAGGAAGUGAAGGAAAGAAAAAUGAUAAGAGCUGCAAGGAAAUGGCUAGAAAA